UAUGGGAAGAGCCUGGGUGAACAGCAGUGGCAAAAUCCUGGUUCCUUCAUUUUCUCCAGUACCCCUGCUUCAGUCCUGUGGCCAAAGGGAUGGACAGUGUCUCUUCCAUUUUGCAGAUAAUUGUGCUUUUAAUGAUUUUAUCGCUGGCCUUCCAAAAGGGCAGGUGGCCUUUAUCCUGUCCUGUGAAUCCCAGCUAAACCUGCAAGUGAGGACCUAUAGGUGUCCUAAUUUCUGAUGGAAGUGGUACAAAUGUUUAAGCAAAAAUUAAUAAAGAGCCCAGAGGAUCAGUGAAUUCCAAUAAACCCGCCCAAGUCUCAAAGUGAGACCAAGUGGAAAAGGGAGGAUGGACUGAUCAGAGACAAAGUGACAAACAAGUAUCUAAAGAUGAUGGACCACAAUCUGAUGCCUGUGGACAGAGAGGGAAGGGAGAGACAGCUCUGAUCAUCUUUGUGCUAGAGAGGUGGGAAAGCAUCAGUUUAACCUGCAUCUUCAGAGAUUGCCUCAGAAGAUGUGAUAAGUCUGCGAUUGGGCACGAGCAGAGAUGAGAACUAUUCUUCCCUUCCUUCCCCUUGAGAGUUGCCAUUCUAGGCAGCUGGCAAGCAGCUGAGCUGUGUCCCUUCACAAUUAGUCCAU